UUACGGUCAUAUCACGUUGAAAUAGCAGGUGUUGUACGCUCACCUAAGUUAAGCAACGUCGUGUCUGGUCAGUACCUAGAUGGGUGACUGCUUGGGAAUACCAGGUGCUGUAAG